UCCUGGCUCCAGGGCUCAGCCCUGCCCACUUCUGGAGAAUUCCAUGACUCAGGUAACAGAGGAGGGGCCUAGCCAGUCUCAGAGCCAAGGUCACACCGCCCUACACCUUGCUGUCCCCACAGCAUCUGCAGGAGGAGCAUGCCAGGACCAGAGACCCAGGGAGCAGCCUCACCAGAGGGAAAAGAGCCUGUAGAGUGGUGAGCUCAGACAGGGCCUCACUCUGUCCCCCAGGCCGGAGUGCAGUGACAUGAUACGGCCCUCCCCAGCCUCUACCUCCUGGGCUCAAGAGAUCCUCCUGCCGCGGACUUCCUGGUAGCUGGGAUGAGGGGUAACGGGAAUGGCAGGACUGUGGUUGAGCUUUGGGAGCCCGGGAAGGAAGGAUACUGGAGCUGGGCUGAUCCAGGACAGCUUCCUGGAGGAGGCGGGAUUUAAACUGGUCAAUGAGAAUUUGCCAUUUGCUUCAAUUGGGCACCUGAAGGCAUCAGUAAUCUGGUUUCACCUCGGACCACAUUCAGGUACUGAGGUGGUUUAGAAGUUGAACUGCACUACCCAUGAGGGAUAGUCCAAUGACAGUAAUGGAGGACCAACCCUCAAGCUAAGGACAACUUGGAAAUCUGGUAAAAAUAUUUUUAAAAUUUGCUUGAAGGACCCCAGAGUCAACAAGAUAGUUAAGUAUUACUUGUCCAGUUCUAUGGGGCUGCUUUUCCUCUGGGGGAUUUUGCUAAUGCCAGAGGCUGUGUCUGAGUAGCUGACAUUUAGACAGCCUUGUGAAGUUAGAUUAGGGGUUGAGUAUGACCUGGCCAAGGGUCUUGGGGCUACUGGUGAGUCUCCCUUGCUUUGAGUGGGAACUCUGAAUAGCUAUACGCUAAUGAGAUUAAAUUUUAUGCUUUAAUUCAUACAAAAUAAAUAUGCAUUAUUUGCUGUGGAUUGUGUGUUAUAAUCUACUUCUCAGUUCUUCAUAUGCAUAGCUAGCUUAGCUCUUCAUCACUGAAUAGAAACUGACCUCUUUGACUCCAGGAGGUGAUGUAGGACACUGGAAUUGUUCUGAAUUUGGAGUCAGAAGGCCUAAUAAUCAGUCCCUAAAAUCAAGUGGCAACUACUGAUAUUGCAGGAUAGUGCCUAGGAAAGAAUUAAGAGACCCAAAGGGUUGACCUUGCAGAGACUCCAGCCUAUGAAGUAUCAGCAAGUGCCAAAAAUUUAUGGCUCUGCAAAAAAGCACAGGGUGACUCAAUUAUGCAGAGAGCUCUACCACCCAAUGCAAAACCCUGGCUCCCGGAAUCUAAAGGACGAAAUGUUGCUUAAAGUAUGAUAUAUUAACAAUUCCAGUGCUUAAAAGUUUCCCUCACUAAAUAUUUCUCUUGGAUGUACCUUAGCAAGCUCUUAGGAAGUUGCUGAGUGUUCUGAUGCUGGUCCUGUGUCCUUUCCACUUUCUAUCGUCUACUUCCCAGCUCCUGUGCUUUCCUUCCAGAGAGAACUGUGUGUGCAGUGUACUUUCUAUGCUUCACCUUCAGGGACCUUCUCUUCUUUCCUUUCUCUGUCUUUGUCCUUGAGCUGUGUUGUCUGCACUGCUGAAUGGUGGCAGUCCUGCUGCAAGGUUGUUGUUCAUAGAUUGUAUGACACCAGCCUCAACGGGUGACUGUGGGAACUAGAGUUAGAAAUCUGAAGCUCUUCUGCAAAGUGCCUUGAACUCUUGAUAGGGAAGAUGCUAUUGAAAGGGACAAAUUCUUUUAAAAGUAAAUAUUGUGGCAGAAGUCUUUGUUGAUAAAAUGACACAAUGCAGUAACAGCUUCAGAUCUGGGGUAAAAUCAGAUGCCAAUUUCCAUCUGAACACACGAUGAUCCUGUGUUGCAUCAUUACACAUUUUUACUUCGUGUAAAAAUUUCUAAGCAAACUAAUACUCAAAAUUAAUGCAAGUAUAAUGAAAGUUUAUCAUUCAGAUUUAUUGCCAUAUAAUAAAUCUUUCACAAAAAUCAGGAAGAAGCCUCUGGUGACUUUGCAGAGCUGAGGCAGUGAUGCACGUGGUGGGGCCUCCCUCCUGAGCGGGAACCAGGACUGGGAGCAUCACUUGCAGGCCUCCAUGGAGGCUGCUGCCCCAGCUGAGCUGUUAGCUAGUGAGUGCUUCUACUGUGUGAUGAAUGAGAAAAGGGAAAGAGGGGAGGGCAAUCAGGGUUCUGGGGGCACCUCAGUGAGCCCAGAGGCCUGGAGGAGAGGCUGUAUGAUUCCCCAGUCAGGCCUUCCUUGGGAGUGUGCCCUCUGUCAAGAUGACUGGGUUUUUGAAGGGCCUCAUUUCCUCACACAACAAGCACUGACAGUCCUGCAGCCCAGGGACUGUCCUGUGGCACUGCCCAGCCCUCAGACUCAGAGGACAGUUCUGUGGUCCUGCCAGAAGCUCAGCUGUUCCACAUGACCCUUAAACAUUUAAACAAUUUUUUGGUUUAAAGGAAAAGGAAGCCAAUCAAAAUGCUUUGGAAACAAAUUAAAGUUGCAAAUUAUUUCCCCACAUAGUAAAUACAUAUCCUUGCUACCUGAAAUGAUAAUCAUCACUCCCCCUGCUGGCUGAGAGCGCUUCUCCUCCUUCAGACUGGCUCUGCCACAAAGCUAAGUAUUAGUAGAAGUUGUUGCCAAGCCUCACCUCUAGCCUGUACAUGGGCUCUGAGGUGAACACAGGAGUCAGAGUCCCCACUCCAGCAGUGACUGGAGGAGGCCUGACAGAACAAGCCCCUUGGGGACAGGAGGCAAGCUGCACUCACCUCUGGGACCCCACCCGGGAUGGGCGCUCCACGAGUCCCUUGGCCUUAGGGAACCUCUGUUUCAUUCCAUCCAGACGAGGAUAGGGAAGCUUCCUGCCCUACCUCGACAGCCUCUAAGAGCACAGCUUGGCCAGGCCUUCCCGUGUGGAGCCCACACAGUGGUGCACUGAGAGGCUGCCAGUGUUUUGACCUUUUACAGAGCUUGGGGUGACUGAGAAUGGUUCCUCCGAGGCCCUCGGAAGAUUUGAUGGACUCAAAUAACACGGGCCUGCAGCCCUGGGACACAGGACAGGAGAAGCCAGCCCUGACACAGAUGAGCUGGCAGUGGAUUCGAACAGUGUGCUCAGUCUCGUCUGGGCUUUUGUGCUUUCUAUGUUGAAGACCAAAUACUUUUUCUUUGAGAAUGAAACUAGGCUCCUUAUCUAGACUGUGAAGGGGCCCGUGAGGACACAGAGUGUGACUGGAAAGGAAGGUCCCAACUGGCCCUCAAUGUGGCCCCAGUGGCUGUUUCCCUGCAAGAAGCUCCUUCCUCCAGCUCAGGCACCAACACACGGAUCACACCGGCCCAGAAACAAAGAGCAAAACAUGCUUUUCAUCCCACGUGGAAUACAGUAUGAACAAAUUACUCUCCUUUUUCUAUUAGUGUGGGUGAAGGAAAAAGACUGUUUUCAAAUGAAGCUUUUCUUUUUCCCAAUGAUUAAUACAGAGUAGAUUAACUUAAUUUGUGCUAGACUCCAAUUUAAUUCCAGCAACAGUUCACAGGCCAUAUUCACAGAAAAGUUAAUCUGGGCUUCAUGAGAAGUAGCCAUUUUCUUUUUCUUUUCUUUCUUUUUUUUUUUUUGCGAGACAGGGUCUCACUUUGUGGCUCAGGCUGGAGUGUACUGGCACGUUCUUAGCUCACUGCAGCCUUGAACUCCUGGGCUCAGGCAAUCCUCCUACCUUAGCCUCCUGAGUAGCUAGGACUACAGGAAUGUGCCAUCAUGCCUGGCUAAUUUUUAAGUUUUUUGUAGAGAUGGGAUCUCACUAUGUUGCCCAAGCUGGUUUCAGAUUCCUGUGCUCAAGGGAUUCUGCUAACUUGGCUCCCCAAAGUGCUGGGAUUACAAAUGUGAGCCACUGUAUCUGGCCCAUAUUCUUUUUUAAGAAAAGAUGCAGAGGUGUUAAAUAUUAAUAUCAAAUUGUCCAGGCAUGGUGUUUAUGAAAUUGUGUGCCCUCUGACAGGCAACCAAACACACACGACUUCAUUUCUUUAUUAAUUCCUGCCUCAUCAUCUUUUCUCAUUGAUGCUCCUUAAUGUCAAAGGAAUCUCUCUCUCUCACACACACAUAAGACCAAAACAAAUAUCUUGAACAUGCAAAAAAAUAGUCUACGCUUUUGAAUAGUGUGCACUGUUGAAUAGUGUGCACUGUUGGAU
rnacentral:lncRNA from 1 species